AGUGGGGAAUAUUGCGCAAUGGGCGAAAGCCUGACGCAGCAAUGCCGCGUGAGUGAGGAAGGCCUUCGGGUUGUAAAGCUCUGUCAGAUAGGAAGAAUUGCCAAGGGUCCAAUAGGCCCUUGGAGUGACGGUACUAUCAAAGGAAGCACCGGCUAACUUCGUGCCAGCAGCCGCGGUAAUACGAAGGGUGCAAGCGUUGUUCGGAUUUAUUGGGCGUAAAGCGCGCGCAGGCGGGCAGCUAAGUCAGAUGUGAAAUCUCGGGGCUCAACCCCGAAACUGCGUCUGAAACUGGUUGCCUAGAGUUUCAGAGGGGAGAGCGGAAUUUCGCAUGUAGGGGUAAAAUCCGUAGAGAUGCGAAGGAACACCAGAGCCGAAGGGGGCUCUCUGGCUGACAACUGACGCUGAGGCGCGAAAGCGUGGGGAGCAAA
rnacentral:rRNA from 1 species